rnacentral:rRNA from 1 species
AAUUUUCCGCAAUGGGCGCAAGCCUGACGGAGCGACGCCGCGUGGAGGAUGACGCCCUUCGGGGUGUAAACUCCUUUUCGGGGGGACGAAGGCAGUGACGGUACCCCCGGAAGAAGCACCGGCUAACUACGUGCCAGCAGCCGCGGUAAGACGUAGGGUGCGAGCGUUGUCCGGAGUUACUGGGCGUAAAGGGCGCGUAGGCGGCUGCCCGCGUCGCACGUGAAAGCCCCCGGCUCAACCGGGGAGGGUCGUGCGAGACGGGGUGGCUAGAGGCAGGGAGAGGCUGGUGGAAUUCCCGGUGUAGCGGUGAAAUGCGUAGAGAUCGGGAGGAACACCGGUGGCGAAGGCGGCCAGCUGGCCCUGACCUGACGCUGAGGCGCGAAGGCGCGGGGAGCGAACGGG